AAGAUUUGAUCCAGUGGCAAUUUGGUAAUUUUUGUCAAGUUUGGAGUGUCGCUUUUUUGCUUUUUCGGAGCCUAAUUUCAUUGGAAACAGGUCAACGGUCAAAAGUCACAAGCGCUGAGCUCCUGAAUUGUAGUGUUUUUUUGGUCAAAUUCUAUCGUUUAGGCCUUCAAAAUUACAUUUUAUUAUUUUCGGGUUAAUUUUUUUUUAAUUUUCCUUAAUAGUUUUCCUUUUCCGUUUUGGAUUCCGCUUUUAGGAUUUUGUCAUUUUAACGUUUGUUAUGAUGUGAAGCAGCAGUUUUUAUGAACAACAGACUUUUUCUUAUUUUCCAAAAUUCUCUUAACUAGAAUUUUGUUGCCUAUUUGCUGGCUGGUAUUCGUAGAAUCAAUAUGUUGUAGAAGGUUAUCGUUUGGCAAUCGUGCGCGAUUCAACAAUUGAUAAAACUUUUCGUUGUAAUUCUGCUACGUUUACGUCGUGCAUGCGAUUUUAACAAGACACGUUCACUAGUACGCUCUUUUUUCACCGAAUAUCGCAAAAAAAUAUAUAUUAAAAAGGGGUGCAGUACGAGGACUUCCCAGGGGGUCACCCAUCCUAGUACUACUCUCGCCAAAGCAUGCUUAACUUCGGAGUUCUGAUGGGAUCCGGUGCAUUAGUGCUGGUAUGAUCGCACCCGUUAGAAUUCUCCAUUUUUAUUCCUAUAUUCCCAAAUGUGGGUGGGACGUAGUGACAUUAACGUCGCGCAUGUGCGUUUACCAAGACACGUUCACUAGUACGCUCUUUUUUCCACCGAAUUUCACAAAAAAUAUAAAAGGAGUUACAACACGAGGAUUUCUCAGGGGGUCACACUGAUGCGGUUGAAGAGCAAGUGUGUCAGUUUAUGAAAGGAUUUGAUAUAUUUGAUCUAGUUUAUGGAAAGAUUUGAUCCAGUGGCAAUUUGGUAAUUUCUGUCAAGUUUGGAGUGUGUUUUUUUUUUUUGCGUUUUCGGAGCCUAAUUUCAUUGGAAACAGGUCAACGGUCAAAAGUCACAAGCGCUUUGCUCGUGAACUGCAGUGUUUUUUGGUCAAAUUCUAUCGUUUAGGCCUUUAAAAUUACAUUUUAUUGUUUUCGAGUUAUUUUUUUAAUUUUCCUUACUAGUUUUCCUUUUCCGUUUUGGAUUCCGCUUUUAGGAUUUUGUUAUUUUAACGUUUGUUAUGAUGUGAAGCAGCAGUUUUUAUGAACAACAGACUUUUUCUUAUUUUCCAAAAUUCUCUUAAUUAGAAUUUUGUUGCCUAUUUGCUGGUAUUCGUAGAAUCAACAGGUUGUAGAAGGUUAUCGUUUGGCAAUCGUGCGCGAUUCAACAAUUGAUAAAACUUUUCGUUGUAAUUCCGCUGCGUUUACGUCGUGCAUGCGAUUUUAGCAAGACACGUUCACUAGUACGCUCUUUUUUCACCGAAUAUCGCAAAAAAUAUAUUAAAAAGGGGUGCAACACGAGGACUUCCCAGGGGGUCACCCAUCCUAGUACUACUCUCGCCCAAGCACGCUUAACUUCGGAGUUCUGAUGGGAUCCGUUGCAUUAGUGCUGGUAUGAUCGCACCUGUUAGAAUUCUCCAUUUUUAUUCCUAUAUUCCCAAAUGUGGGUGGGACGUAGUGACAAUAAUGUCGCGCAUGUGCGUUUACAAAGACACGUUCACUAGUACGCUCUUUUUUCCACCGAAUUACACAAAAAAUAUAAAAGAAGUUGCAAAACGAGGAUUUCUCAGGGGGGGUCACUGAUGCGGUUGAAGAGCAAGCGUGUCAGUUUAUGGAAGGAUUUGAUAGAUUCGAUCUAGUUUAUGGAAAGAUUUGAUCCAGUGGCAAUUUGGUAAUUUCUGUUAAGUUUGGAGUGUCAUUUUUUUUGCGUUUUUGGAGCCUAAUUUCAUUGGAAACAGGUCAACGGUCAAAAGUCACGAGCACUCUGGUUGUGAACUGCAGUGUUUUUUUGGUCAAAUUCUAUCGUUUAGGCCUUUAAAAUUACAUUUUAUUGUUUUUGGGUUAUUUUUUUUAAUUUUCCUUCCUAGUUUUCCUUUUCCGGUUUGGAUUCCGCUUUUGGAAUUUUGUCAUUUUAAGGUUUGUUAUGAUGUGUAGCAGCAAGUUUUAUGAACAACAGACUUUUUCUUAUUUUCCAAAAUUCUCUUAACUAGAAUUUUGUUGCCUAUUUGUUGGCUGGUAUUCGUAGAAUCAACAUGUUGUAGAAGGUUAUCGUUUGGCAAUCGUGCGCGAUUCAACAAUUGAUAAAACUUUUCGUUGUAAUUCCGCUACGUUUAUGUCGUGCAUGCGAUUUUAGCAAGACACGUUCAC
rnacentral:lncRNA from 1 species